UACAGAGGGUGCGAGCGUUAAUCGGAAUUACUGGGCGUAAAGCGCACGUAGGUGGCUUGGCAAGUCGGGUGUGAAAUCCCCGGGCUCAACCUGGGAACUGCAUUCGAGACUGCCUUGCUCGGGUAUGGGAGAGGGAAGUGGAAUUUCCGGUGUAGCGGUGAAAUGCGUAGAUAUCGGAAGGAACAUCAGUGGCGAAGGCGACUUCCUGGACCAAUACUGACACUCAGGUGCGAAAGCGUGGGGAGCAAACAGG
rnacentral:rRNA from 1 species